UACAGAGGCCCCAAGCGUUACUGAGAAUCACUGGGUUUAAAGGGUGCGUAGGUGGCGCGUUAAGUCCGUUGUGAAAUCCCUUGGCUCAACCAAGGAAAUGCUUCGGAUACUGGCGUGCUUGAGGCUAGUAGGGGUCACUGGAACUGACGGUGGAGCGGUGAAAUGCGUAGAUAUCGUAAGGAAGACCAGUGGCGAAGGCGAAUCUCUGGACAGUUACUGACACUGAGGCACGAAGGCCAGGGGAGCAAACGGG
rnacentral:rRNA from 1 species